rnacentral:rRNA from 1 species
AGAGUUUGAUCCUGGCUCAGGAUGAACGCUGGCGGCGUGCUUAACACAUGCAAGUCGAACGGAAAGGCCAGUGCUUGCACUGGUGCUCGAGUGGCGAACGGGUGAGUAACACGUGGGUGAUCUGCCCUGCACUUCGGGAUAAGCCUGGGAAACUGGGUCUAAUACCGGAUAGGACCAUCGUGUUGUGGCGGUGGUGGAAAGUUUUUUCGGUGUGGGAUGAGCUCGCGGCCUAUCAGCUUGUUGGUGGGGUAAUGGCCUACCAAGGCGUCGACGGGUAGCCGGCCUGAGAGGGUGUACGGCCACAUUGGGACUGAGAUACGGCCCAGACUCCUACGGGAGGCAGCAGUGGGGAAUAUUGCACAAUGGGCGCAAGCCUGAUGCAGCGACGCCGCGUGGGGGAUGACGGCCUUCGGGUUGUAAACUCCUUUCGCCAGGGACGAAGCGUUAUGUGACGGUACCUGGAUAAGAAGCACCGGCUAACUACGUG